rnacentral:rRNA from 1 species
AUUGAACGCUGGCGGCAGGCCUAACACAUGCAAGUCGAAUGGUAACAGGAAACAGCUUGCUGUUUCGCUGACGAGUGGCGGACGGGUGAGUAAUGUCUGGGAAACUGCCUGAUGGAGGGGGAUAACUACUGGAAACGGUAGCUAAUACCGCAUAACGUCGCAAGACCAAAGAGGGGGACCUUCGGGCCUCUUGCCAUCAGAUGUGCCCAGAUGGGAUUAGCUAGUAGGUGGGGUAACGGCUCACCUAGGCGACGAUCCCUAGCUGGUCUGAGAGGAUGACCAGCCACACUGGAACUGAGACACGGUCCAGACUCCUACGGGAGGCAGCAGUGGGGAAUAUUGCACAAUGGGCGCAAGCCUGAUGCAGCCAUGCCGCGUGUAUGAAGAAGGCCUUCGGGUUGUAAAGUACUUUCAGCGGGGAGGAAGGGAGUAAAGUUAAUACCUUUGCUCAUGGACGUUACCCGCAGAAGAAGCACCGGCUAACUCCGU